AGAGUUUGAUCCUGGCUCAGAUUGAACGCUGGCGGCAUGCCUUACACAUGCAAGUCGAACGGCAGCACGGGUGCUUGCACCUGGUGGCGAGUGGCGAACGGGUGAGUAAUAUAUCGGAACGUACCCUAGAGUGGGGGAUAACGUAGCGAAAGUUACGCUAAUACCGCAUACGAUCUACGGAUGAAAGUGGGGGAUCGCAAGACCUCAUGCUCAUGGAGCGGCCGAUAUCUGAUUAGCUAGUUGGUGGGGUAAAAGCCUACCAAGGCGACGAUCAGUAGCUGGUCUGAGAGGACGACCAGCCACACUGGAACUGAGACACGGUCCAGACUCCUACGGGAGGCAGCAGUGGGGAAUUUUGGACAAUGGGGGCAACCCUGAUCCAGCAAUGCCGCGUGAGUGAAGAAGGCCUUCGGGUUGUAAAGCUCUUUUGUCAGGGAAGAAACGGGAUUUUCUAAUACAAAGUCCUAAUGACGGUACCUGAAGAAUAAGCACCGGCUAACUACGUGCCAGCAGCCGCGGUAAUACGUAGGGUGCAAGCGUUAAUCGGAAUUACUGGGCGUAAAGCGUGCGCAGGCGGUUGUGCAAGACAGAUGUGAAAUCCCCGGGCUCAACCUGGGAAUUGCAUUUGUGACUGCACGGCUAGAGUGUGUCAGAGGGGGGUAGAAUUCCACGUGUAGCAGUGAAAUGCGUAGAGAUGUGGAGGAAUACCGAUGGCGAAGGCAGCCCCCUGGGAUAACACUGACGCUCAUGCACGAAAGCGUGGGGAGCAAACAGGAUUAGAUACCCUGGUAGUCCACGCCCUAAACGAUGUCUACUAGUUGUCGGGUCUUAAUUGACUUGGUAACGCAGCUAACGCGUGAAGUAGACCGCCUGGGGAGUACGGUCGCAAGAUUAAAACUCAAAGGAAUUGACGGGGACCCGCACAAGCGGUGGAUGAUGUGGAUUAAUUCGAUGCAACGCGAAAAACCUUACCUACCCUUGACAUGUACGGAACUUACCAGAGAUGGUUUGGUGCUCGAAAGAGAACCGUAACACAGGUGCUGCAUGGCUGUCGUCAGCUCGUGUCGUGAGAUGUUGGGUUAAGUCCCGCAACGAGCGCAACCCUUGUCAUUAGUUGCUACGAAAGGGCACUCUAAUGAGACUGCCGGUGACAAACCGGAGGAAGGUGGGGAUGACGUCAAGUCCCCAUGGCCCUUAUGGGUAGGGCUUCACACGUCAUACAACGGUACAUACAGAGGGCCGCCAACCCGCGAGGGGGAGCUAAUCCCAGAAAGUGUAUCGUAGUCCGGAUUGUAGUCUGCAACUCGACUACAUGAAGUUGGAAUCGCUAGUAAUCGCGGAUCAGCAUGUCGCGGUGAAUACGUUCCCGGGUCUUGUACACACCGCCCGUCACACCAUGGGAGCGGGUUUCACCAGAAGUAGGUAGCCUAACCGCAAGGAGGGCGCUUACCACGGUGGGAUUCGUGACUGGGGUGAAGUCGUAACAAGGUA
rnacentral:rRNA from 1 species